AUUGAACGCUGGCGGCAUGCCUUACACAUGCAAGUCGAACGGUAACAGGUCUUCGGAUGCUGACGAGUGGCGAACGGGUGAGUAAUACAUCGGAACGUGCCUAGUAGUGGGGGAUAACUACUCGAAAGAGUGGCUAAUACCGCAUGAGAUCUACGGAUGAAAGCAGGGGAUCGCAAGACCUUGUGCUACUAGAGCGGCCGAUGGAAGGUUAGGUGGUUGGUGGGAUAAAAGCUUACCAAGCCGACGAUCUGUAGCUGGUCUGAGAGGACGAUCAGCCACACUGGGACUGAGACACGGCCCAGACUCCUACGGGAGGCAGCAGUGGGGAAUUUUGGACAAUGGGCGAAAGCCUGAUCCAGCAAUGCCGCGUGCAGGAUGAAGGCCUUCGGGUUGUAAACUGCUUUUGUACGGAACGAAAAGCCCCGGGUUAAUACCCUGGGGUCAUGACGGUACCGUAAGAAUAAGCACCGGCUAACUACGUGCCAGCCGCCGCCGUAA
rnacentral:rRNA from 1 species